UAGAGUUUGAUCAUGGCUCAGAACGAACGCUGGCGGCAGGCUUAACACAUGCAAGUCGAACGCCCCGCAAGGGGAGUGGCAGACGGGUGAGUAACGCGUGGGAACGUACCCUUUACUACGGAAUAACUCAGGGAAACUUGUGCUAAUACCGUAUGUGCCCUUCGGGGGAAAGAUUUAUCGGCAAAGGAUCGGCCCGCGUUGGAUUAGGUAGUUGGUGGGGUAACGGCCUACCAAGCCGACGAUCCAUAGCUGGUUUGAGAGGAUGAUCAGCCACACUGGGACUGAGACACGGCCCAGACUCCUACGGGAGGCAGCAGUGGGGAAUCUUAGACAAUGGGCGCAAGCCUGAUCUAGCCAUGCCGCGUGAGCGAUGAAGGCCUUAGGGUUGUAAAGCUCUUUCAGCGAGGAAGAUAAUGACUGUACUCGCAGAAGAAGCCCCGGCUAACUCCGUGCCAGCAGCCGCGGUAAU
rnacentral:rRNA from 1 species